GCUGGGCACAGUGCCGUGUACCUGUAGUCCCAGCUACUUGGGAGGCUAAGAUGGGAUUAUUGCUUGAGCCCAGGAGUUCUGGGCUGUAGGGUGCUAUGCCGAUCAGGUGUCUGCCCUAAGUUCAGCAUCAAUGUGGUGACCUCCUGGGAGCAGGGGACCACCAGGUUGCCUAAGGAGGGGUGAACCGGCCCAGGUCGGAAAUGGAGCAGGUCAAAACUCCUGUGCUGAUCAGUAGUGGGAUCGCACCUGUGAAUAGCCACUGCACUCCAACCUGGGAAACAUAGUGAGACCCCAUCUCUU
ensembl:misc_RNA Metazoa_SRP Metazoan signal recognition particle RNA